rnacentral:rRNA from 1 species
GACAGAGGUGCCGAGCGUUAGGCGGAACCACUGGGCUUAAAGCGCGUGUAGGCGGACCGUUAAGUGCUCCGUGAAAUCCCCCGGCUCAACCGGGGAACGGCGGGGCAUACUGGCGGUCUUGGGCCACCUAGGGGUCAUCGGAACAGGCGGUGGAGCGGUGAAAUGCGUAGAUAUCGCCUGGAACGCCGACGGUGAAAACAGAUGACUGGGGGUGUGCCGACGCUGAGACGCGAAAGCCAGGGGAGCGAACGGG